rnacentral:lncRNA from 1 species
GUCCUAUCAAUGCUGAAGUGUAGUCCCCUCAUGGUGAUGUAAGUACCCUCACUGCUGAAGUGGAGUACCCUUAAUGCUGAAGUGAACGCACUACAUUCUAAUAUAAGUCCCCUGAUGGUGAAGUCCCCCCAUUGCUGAAGUGAAAACCCCUCAUGCGGAAGAAGAGUACACUCAAUGCUGAUAAAGUCCCCUCAUGCUGCAGUGAAAUUCCCUUAAUGCUAAACUGCAGUCCCCUUAAUGCUGAAGUUAAGUUCCCUCGUUCUGAAGUGAUGACUCCUCAUGCUGAAGUGAAGUGCCCCCACGCUGAAGUGAAAACCCUCAUACAGAAGUGAAGUCCUCUCAUAGUGAAGUGAAAUUCCCUUAUUUAAAGUGAAAUCCCUUAGUGCUGAAAUAAAGUCCCCUCAAUGCUAAUGUGAAGUUCACUCAUGCUAAAGUGGAAUCUUCUCAAUGCUGGAGUAAGUUCCCCUCAAUGCUGAAGUGAAAACCCCUCAUUCUUCAGGUAAGUCCUCUGAUGCUGAAAUUGAGUCCCUCAAUGCUGAUGUGAAGUCCCAUUAUGCUGAGGUGGAGUCCUCGAUGUUGAAGUGAAGUCCCCUCAGUGCUGAAGUGUAGUCCCCUCAUGCUGAAGUGAAAUCCCCUAAACGCUUAAGUGAAUUCUCCUCAUGCUGAAAUGAAGUACUCUCAAUGGUGGAGUAAAGACCCCCCCUCCCAUGUUAAGGAGAAAUCCCUUCAGUGCUAAAGAGAAAUUUCCCCAAUUUUGGAAUGAAGUUCUGUCAUGCUGAAGUGAUAUCCUCUCAUGCUAAAAUGAAGUCCCCUUAUGCUGAGUUGAAGGCCCAUCAUGCUGAUGUGAAGACUCCUACUGCUAAUGUGAAGUCCCUUCAUAUUAAAAUAGAGUCCCUUAUUCUGAAAUAAGGUACCUUCUUGCUAAAGUCAAGUCUCCUCAUGCUGAUGUGAAAACCUUCAUGCUGAAAUGAAGUCCCCUCAUGCUGAAAUGGAAUCCCUUAACACUGAAAUGAAGUCCCCUGAAUGCUAAUUGAAGUCCCCUCAGCUGAAGUGACGUUCUCUCAGUGCUGAACUGGAAUCACUUCAUGUAGAAGUAAAGACCCCUUAUGCUGAAGGUAACUCUCCUCAUGCUGAAGUGAAGUCCCUUCAUGCUGAGGUGAAAACACUCAUGGUGAAAUGGAACCCCAUCAAUGCUAAUGUGAAGUCUGCUCAUGCUGAAGUGACAUCCCUUCAUGCUGGGGUGAUAUCCCACCAGUGCUGAUAUGAAGUCCCCUAAUGCUGAAGUAAACAAACAAACAUACCGAAUGGAAGUCCCCUGAUGUGGAAGUGACACUCUCUCAAUGGUGAGGUGGAAUACCCUCAAUGCUCAAGCCCC